UGGGGCCCACUAGGAGGUGUCGCUUGGCUUACUCGAGACCGAGGGACACGCCAACGGUUCAGGAGAUUAGACAGAGACGGAGCCGUCAGAGAGGAAGAGGAGGGCGAGAGGCAGGCCCAGGCUAGAGCCAUCGACUGACCACGACCUUGGCUCCUCUCGCUCUUCUAGGGGCGACGACGUCCCUCCACAGAUGUACAAUGAGGAGGUCUCGCCCGAGUCCGAGGAGGGGGUUCCACACACGUCUGAGGAGGGGGUAGGGGGUUCGACUUCCUCCAGUGCCUCAAAACCCUAUAAGCGAGGUCCCAGCCAGCUCCCGAAGCGACCCAUUCCUAUUGACCGCCGCCCACUGAUUGCACCCGAGGGGGAUAAGAACUGGAUACUUGUGGAGGAUGGGGGCGAGGCUCGCAAUGUCAAUGGGAUCCUGGGACUUUUGUGCAGGGAACACUUCCCUCGCCUAGUGUACAAGUCAGAGGAGGAUGUGGACGGAGAGAUACCCUUGUUCGACCAGUACGCUCUCUUCCCCGCCAGUGCUCCAUAUAGAAACUUGGCAGAUCAGGUGAUUACAGAGUUGUGGGACUACUUCAGAUGCUAGCCAGGACAGGAGGAAAGGGCGUAUUAGGUGGCUUACGUUUCCUAUAAAAGGUGUGUCUCUGACUUGUAUUACGAGUCUCGCUUGCAGGCGCACAUUGACUACAAUGCCACCUACCGUCAUAGAAGAAUCAACAAACCUCAGUCAAGAAGAGAGAUUCUAACAAGGGAGCAGUAUCUUCAGGUGAUUCCAAGUUGGUGCGCCACCUAUCCCAAUUGCUGGGCUGCUAUAGUGGACAAAUGGUUGGACACGGACUGGCAGAAGUAGCACCAAGAGAAAAGCGAGCACCGUAUGCUCAUGCUAGGUGUCUCUCACCAUCAGGGUAGCGCGAGCCUCAGCAAAUACAACAAGACUUAUGAGGCAGCGCACGGUGGCUAGCCAAUUAGCCAACUCAUGGCGUAUGCUCUGGCCCACAUGGGCCCGACAAAGUCCAACAUCGAGUACAACCCUGAUGCAGGCCCAGAGGUGUACACUAACUCUAGCGUCUACACCCGUCUCAGUUCGUACACGGAGGCAUCGAACUUAGUCCAUGUGUCGGACUACGAUCCGAGGACCGAGGAGCGCCUUGAUCCUGAGCUAGUGAUGAGGAUUGGGCAAGCUAAGAAGCAUGGACGAUUCUACAUUUGCAACGGCAUCCUUGAGACAGGUUGUACUCCUCCUCUUAACCGCCUACGAGCAGCGAGCACGAGCUCUAGCGUGCCCAUAAGCCAACGGCGACAGCGGUGGAGGCACUAUAGGCCGAGCUGUUAGCACUUCGGGCCCAGCAGGAGGCCCAGUUGGCUGAGCGAGAGGCUGAGCGAGCCGAGCGGGAGGCCGAGCGUCAGAGGAUACAAGCUUUGGAGGCCCAACAAGAGGGUUUGCUCAAGUUCAUGCAACAACUUGGGCAACAACAAGGUUGGGAGAUCCCAGCACAGCUGCUUGCACCACCACCACCACCAUAUCGUCGAGAGUCUACUCCGCAUGCAUCAGGGGCGGCGUCCAACCAUGUCGGAGGGUCGCCAGGAUCGCAUGGUGUGCUAUGCACACCUAGACCGUCGCCGGGAUCGCAAGGUGGGGCGUCCCAACCCUCGCCGGGAUCGCACACUGGACAGUCGUCGUGAGCUGCCUUGGGAGUUGUUUUUAUGAAUUAAACUUGUGAACUUGGAAUAAUAUGUACUCUUGAACGUGUGGUUUGUAAUAUAUUUUGAAUUUCGUAUAAAUUUGGUCAUUUGUGAUAUAUAUAAAUGUGGUUUGUGAUA